UCAAAUUGCUGCAACAUUAGUGACACUGCCUUCUAGAGGUACGAGGAAGUUCAACACAAACCUGGCCAAUCCCAAGGCAGUAUCAGGGUGGGUUUUGUUCGAGUUUCUCCAUCUGCAAUCCAGCAGCAUAGCCUUCUGUGGGAGAUUCACCCAGAGGGACUGAAAUGUUUUGGCCAAUCCACACUAGCAGUCAUUGGGCUGAAGUUUUCUUUGUCUCUCAGGAUGGAGAAAUUGGACUGAUUCCUCAGACAAGGAAGAGAGCCAGGCACCAAAUCCCGAGAUCUGGAUCUGCAAUCACUGCCUGGUCAGGCUGGAAUGAAUAAUCCAGCUGUAAUGGGGUGUGGGAAUGUGUGCAGCAUGCCUUUUUUUAAACUUUUGAUACUUUGCAGAAGAGGCACACCUUACAUCAGCCAGGCCUUACAGAAAGUUCAGUUCAAAGUUUUUGGCUUUUUCUGCGUCUUUUGAAUGAAACAAACACAGAUUACAUAGUUUUAAAUUCCCCAUCCUAUCUACACAGGCUCAUUUGCUGUCAUGUUUAGCUACUUGUAGAAAAGAAGAAACACUACCCCUUUAAUUCUUCAAAUAGGUUACUAGGAAAACAUUAGCAUUUUUGCAAAAUAUAUUGGGUUGACUGUUUUGGUUUAUUUUUGCUGAGAGCAGACUGGAUUGACUACAGAAAGGUUGGCAAGUGGAAAGUACAAAGUCUCUUUAUAAAAGUGAUCUGAGGAGCAGGAGCACGCACCUAGGAAAUCUUUGUUGAUUGUUGCUAAUAUCUAUGAUAAUUAAGCUAAAAAUAUCCACAAAGCAAUAGAAUUUGCAGAGACGACUCUAUUGUCUUAAGCAAAUAAUGAAGCAGGGAACAGUUAAAUUGAUCCCACAACUCCCAUUUCAAUAACAAAGCAGCAACAACUGUUAAUCUAUAGCACUCACUUUAGAUUACAAACCUAACACUGAACAGGCAAUUUCAUUAGUGAGAAUACAGCUGAGAGAGAAAUGCCGGCAGGGAAAAAAGCCAUCCCUGUUGAAAUCAAAGCAUCCUGAGAAUUUCUUGCUGCUGUGUACCCAGAAGUGCAAUCAGGGAAAAGUUCUGAAGAUAUCAGGUACAGCUAUAGGAAGCAGUUCCCUUUUGUUUUGCCCUGAAGGCUGUCAGAACACAGCCUGCUGACCGAUCUCACCAACCCAGGUUUUUCCUUUUUAUUCUUGUCCCCCAGCUCAACACAUUCUCUGAGAGCCAACCAACCCCCAAGCUCACCCACAGAUACCAGCACUGCCUGGAAGAGAGAGUUCUCUUUUAAAAUUAGCUCCUUUCAGACGCUUGUACAAACCCAUAGAUAUCACAGGGCCUGCAGAGCCAGUGCCAAGGAACAUCCCCAGAGUGAUGCUGCCAAUGAAGGAGGGAAGGCUCAUUCCCCAUCAGUGCUGGCAGCUGUGGGGACCUUAUGGGAGUCAGAACUUUCUGUUCUCACUGAAGGUAGCAGGCAGGACUAUAAAUAUCCACAUAGAACAUAUUUACUGAAGGAUUGAGUGCUGUAAGAACACAUUUUAGAGGUAAUAGCAGCUACUGAGAUAAAAUCAAAGAACCACAUAAUAAUGGAGGUGAGAAGGGACCUCUGAAAGCACCUACUCCAGCCUCCUGCUCAAAUCAGAGCCAACUUCCAUUACAGGGUGUGCUGCCUGCGACCGUGGCCAGCUGUGUUCUGACAGAUCUCAGGGAUGGAGAGCCCACAGCCUUUCCAAGGAAGCUGUUUCUGUGUUGCAUAACCUUCAUUCUGAUGAAUUUUUUCCUCAGAAUGUACGUCUACUAUCUCAUCAUUUUGCAGCACGCUGCUGCAGAGAGUCUGACUCCAGCUUCACUACAAUAUCAUUGAGGUAAUGGAAGACGGCAAUUAGAAGUCCCAUUAGCCAACCUUCUCCAGGCUAAACAAACUCAGCACCCUUAGACUCUCCUAAUACAUCUCCUGAACAUCUUAUUGACCCUUGACUAGACGUGCUCCCAUUUUUUGACCUGUCAGUUGCACUGGAACAGUCUUCCAACUGUGAGUUGCAAUCUCACAAGUGCAGAGCUGAGGUUAAUGAUGGACCUGUUGGCUACAUUCAUAUGCAGCCAGGCUUCAUUACCCUAAGCACACACUGCUCAUAACCACUUUGUGGUCCACCAGGACCCCAGGUCCUUUCUGCAGAGCUUCUCCCAUUCAGUCCAUAUUGUUGAUGUAUCUCAGAGGCAGGACCAGCUGUGCUUGCCCUCAGGAUGAGAUUCUUGCUAGCCUAUUCUUCAAGCUUGUUAAGAUCUUUGCCUUUCUUUGAUAACAGACCUUAGAAGUUUGGGUAACAUUUUCUGCAUGUGCUCAUGAAAAGAAAAAAAAUGAAUAAAGAGAGAAAAAAAAGAAGAAAAAAAAGGAGUAAAUAUAGGACUUUUGUAUAUAUGUGCAAACUCACAAGUGUUAUGCUGUUUUGUACCACCACCCUACAUUCCUUACAAUACUACUAGAGGCCAAGGAAAACGGAAAUCCCAGCUGACAUCAACAGGAGUUUUUACUGGCUGCAAUGACCUUGAAGAUAGUCCAGACAUGUAAAGCAUAACAGCAGGAAUCAGGAUGUCAGCAUUAGCACUGGGAUGGAAUUGAUUAACAUGAUUUUUCUAGAAAGGAAGGAAGAUAAGUUGCUGCUUUUGAGUGGGGGACUUGAAAUCUAUAACUAAUAUUCCUGACUGAAAUUCUGUUAGCAAAAUUUAUGACACAGAUGGGAAUCACAUUUUUCUUCAGAUAAGAACACUUCUUGUAGUCAUUCACUCUGUAUUUCAUGAGACACUAGCAGAUACAGUGAGCUAUUUCACUCUAUUUCUGCUUAUAGAGCAUCCUGACUUUUCGACACUUCAAAAACUGUAUAUAUUGUGAUGACUAUAUAGACAACCUCAAUGAAAGUCUACUACUGCAUGCUUAAUAAUUCACUUGUAUCCAAAUGGAAAUAUUCAUUGCAGCAUUAGCAAAGGCUGUUCUAAGUCAUGCAGUGGCUGUUCACCAAAUUUAACUUCCCAUGCCCAGAUUCUUGUAAGAAUUUCUCCUAUACAUUGCAUCUCCUUUAUUGCUUUAUUGCAGGAGCUUAGAAAAAACGCUGCCCUUCCAUAAUGGAAUUUUUCUCCUCCCUUGUUGCAGUUGCGUAUGCAUUUUACAAGUACACAAUGACUGUGCUGCUUUAACUUUGUUACAAUACUCGGGGAAUAAUUAGUUCUGUAUCUUCUAACAAAGAACAAAUGUAUUUGUUCAAAAAUUAAAUAUUUACUUUCCUAAGAGCCAUCAUAAGUUGUUGUGAGUGCUUGUCUACAUUAUGUGUGGAAAAUUAAAUAUACUCUGUAUAAUAAUUCUGCUGGUAUAAUAAAGGAUUAUGCAUGACAAGGGAAA
ensembl:lncRNA